AGCUUUGUAAAGAAGGCCAAUUCACUUUCCUAAGACUCUGUGAUCUUUGACUAUUAAAUGGGAGCUUUUAACCCUGGGACCAUGACUGAAGUUCUCUACACAAAGCCAAAGUCAUUCCAUAGUGCUGUUUUUCUAAGGCGAUAUAAGA
rnacentral:snoRNA from 1 species